rnacentral:rRNA from 1 species
AUACGGAGGGUCCGAGCGUCAUCCGGAAUCAUUGGGUUUAAAGGGUCCGUAGGCGGGAAUCUAAGUCAGUGGUGAAAUCUUGCAGCUCAACUGUAAAAUUGCCAUUGAUACUGGAUUUCUUGAAUUAGUGUGAAGUGGUUAGAAUGUGUAGUGUAGCGGUGAAAUGCAUAGAUAUUACACAGAAUACCAAUUGCGAAGGCAGAUCACUAACACUAUAUUGACGCUAAGGGACGAAAGCGUGGGGAGCGAACAGGAUUAGAUACCCCUGUAGUCC